UCGGGGUCCAUCAGGUGCUCUCUGCCCUACUACCUGUAGUUGCCAGGCUUCAGUUUCCAAUCGAUGCAGACGAAGAUCAGCUCGCCGGCCCUCUCCAGUCCUUAAACAGGUUUUCUUUCAUCUAUUAAUCCUUUGAUUUCGUCCUGCUCUUAUUCUCUGAAUCUCUUAUUCUCCUUUUAUUACUUGCUAUUAUUGUUACCCGACCCUCUUAUCGGAAUUAGGGUUUCUUAAUUCCAUUUGCUCACCUGGUCAUUGGUCUCAUUAAAUUAAUGUCAAGUUUGAGGGAUGUUUUGUGUAUUAUGACUAUGGACGAACCUCUUUUUGCUAAAGGGUGCGUAUUUUGUUUACAAUAGCGGUUUUGUCCUUAAAUUAACUGACUCUUAUUCUCAUAUGUAAUGAGAUAAGGGGAGGUAGGAUAGUAGACUGCUCCAAUGGUUGAGAGUAGCUUCUGUAAUAAACCUUCGAAUUAUAAAAUGUCCUUUAUGGGAUUCGAUACCACGACCCAAAAAUAAGAGUUGGAUGUGCGCAUGUAAGACUACUGUUUAUCAAAGUGCUCUUCUUUCUAGCUAACCAUUUAUUUGGUUAGUCCUUCACUUAAUGAUUAUAGAUUUGUGCUUCCGGUUUAUAUUUUUCAUCUCAUUAUGUACAAACGGUAAUGCAAUUUUUUGGUUAUUUGUCAUUAAAUUGUUGGUGGUGGGAUGAGGGAGAAAAAGGAAUCCGUGUAAAAUGUUGUUAUGACUUUUAAAUUGUGGUGCAAACCUUGGGCGCGUGAUGCUUACACUUGAUCUCUGAAAUUCAGGUAAGUUUACCUGUUGAGAAAUAUAUGUACUGAUGCACUUCCGAUUGCACUGCAUUGUACAAAUUAGAAUAGAUCAUUUUCAUUCCCCUUCUAGUCUUUUGUUUUCUUUUUAAAAGAAAAAUAUUCCUUUGAUCUGAUUUGUGCAUUUAGGGUGUCCUGUUGCUUCAAAUUUUGAAGCCAUGGCUUAACCAUUUUUUCCUAAAUGGAAAUAAACGAUGGCUCCAUAUCCCUUCAAGGGAAUCUUUUUCAUCUAUGUUCAUCCUGAUAUGAGUUUAAAUAACUAAUUAAUUCAUCAAAUGAUAGUUAUGACUUUUAAAUUGUGGUGCGAAGCUAGGGCGCAUGAUGCUUACACUUGAUCUCUGAACUUCAGAGUUUGGGAAACAGGGUUGGUAAGGUCUUCACUACAAUGGCAUAUGAAAAUAUGGUAAAUGAAUUGCAUGAAAAGAUUGGGAUACCAAUUGAGAAAGGUCACCUGAAAAAUCGAAUAAAGUCUCUGAAGCAUGACUUUUUCGAGUGUUGUGACCUUUUCAAGUGCAGAAGUGGUUUUGCUUGGAGUCUAGACACUAAAAUGUGGACUGCUAAGCCUGAACAUUGGAAAGCACUAGUGAAGGUUGGU